AUCCCAACUGGGAACUGUCCAGGGGGCUGGAAAUCAGGACUGAGGAACAGCACAGAGGAACUAACCCAAAGGAUGAAAGCGAUACUACAGAUCUGAAGGGGAGCUAACAGAAAGGGAGAAAGAGAAACAGGGCCGGGGAACACCCACCUUGGGGAGGAGAAGCCGGUGGCCAGGCUGUGAAGGGAAUAUGCAGCGACCUGGCUGCAAACUUCCUGACUUCAGAGGCCAGGCUGGAGCCCAAGAAGGCUUUGCGGACCCGUGGCUGUGCUCCUCGUGUGAGCCAAGUGUAGUCCCUGGCGGUGACGCCUGCAGCUCGGCUCUGCCCGCGUUCCGGCGGCGGGGGGUGCGGACCAGCUGAGCAGGACUAGCGCGGCUCCAGGGCCAGAUUGCCGUCUCUGUUCAGACCCCAACAGCAGCGCCCCAUGUCGCCAGGACUCGCGAACCACCUCGGCUGGGGUGUGCUGGCCUGCUCUGCUCCUGUGCUUCGGGUCUUUAUUCCGCUUUGAAUGGGUUUCUUGAAAAACAAACUCUUUGACGUAAAAAAAAAAAAAACCAAACAGUUUAUGGUCUUUAGAAUGUUGAUUUGAAAUAAAGCGAAUAUUGGUGACAUGCUCUGCAGAUAGUUACAUAAAGCUGUGAAAGAGCCACAAAUAAUUUACUCUAACUGCAGCACUAAUUAUUGUCCUGUACAAAGCAGCCGCUGUUAGGAGUCGUUUCUUUGAGUGGUAUCAAUUCCCCAGGAGAUAAGCAUUAUAAAAAUGAUUAAAAGAAUUUCAUAUGAUUUUUGUCAUUAAAAUAAAAUCUCAAUAAACCAGCA